UAGCUGCUGGGCAAGGCUGGCCGUCGGCAAAGACCAGAAGACCUUCGCGUUGUCUGAUGACUGGAGGUGCUAAGGAGAACUGGAAAAAUGGGGCAGGCGCGUGUUGCUAAGUGUGACCGUGGCUAACUCCGGAAGGUGCAGUUGAUUGGCAAGGCUGGCCGAUGGCAAAGAACACAGGACGUUUGCGUGGUCUGACGACUGGAGGUGAUGAGGAGAACUGGAACAAGAGAGCUGGGCCAUGUUGCCGACCGUGGACGUGGAUAACCCAGGUGUAGCUGCUGGGCAAGGCUGGCCGUCGGCAAAGACCAGAAGACCUUCGCGUUGUCUGAUGACUGGAGGUGCUAAGGAGAACUGGAAAAAUGGGGCAGGCGCGUGUUGCUAAGUGUGACCGUGGCUAACUCCGGAAGGUGCAGUUGAUUGGCAAGGCUGGCCGAUGGCAAAGAACACAGGACGUUUGCGUGGUCUGACGACUGGAGGUGAUGAGGAGAACUGGAACAAGAGAGCUGGGCCAUGUUGCCGACCGUGGACGUGGAUAA